rnacentral:rRNA from 1 species
UACGAAGGGGGCUAGCGUUGUUCGGAAUUAUUGGGCGUAAAGGGCGCGUAGGCGGUGCGGUAAGUCUGCAGUGAAAUCUCUGGGCUCAACUCAGAGUCUGCUGUAGAAACUGCCGUGCUUGAGUGUGGGAGAGGUGAGUGGAAUUCCGAGUGUAGAGGUGAAAUUCGUAGAUAUUCGGAAGAACACCAGUGGCGAAGGCGACUCACUGGACAGGUAUUGACGCUGAGGUGCGAAAGCGUGGGGAGCAAACAGG